rnacentral:rRNA from 1 species
UUGGAGGGCAAGUCUGGUGCCAGCAGCCGCGGUAAUUCCAGCUCCAAUAGCGUAUAUUAAAGUUGUUGCAGUUAAAAAGCUCGUAGUUGAAUUUCGAGACCGGUUUAUUGGUCGUGCUUUUGUACGUACUGGUAUUAUUGGUUUCUCCUCUCUGACGAAUCUUAAUGCCAUUAAUUUAGUGUUUUGGGGAAUCAGGACUGUUACUUUGAAAAAAUUAGAGUGUUUAAAGCAGGCUCACGCUUGAAUACAUUAGCAUGGAAUAACGGAAUAGGACGUUUGAUUCUAUUUUGUUGGUUUCUAGGAUCGACGUAAUGAUUAAUAGGGAUAGUUGGGGGCAUUAGUAUUCAAUUGUCAGAGGUGAAAUUCUUGGAUUUAUUGAAGACUAACUACUGCGAAAGCAUUUGCCAAGGAUGUUUUCAUUAAUCAAGAACGAAAGUUAGGGGAUCGAAGACGAUCAGAUACCGUCGUAGUCUUAACCAUAAACUAUGCCGACUAGGGAUCGGAUGAUGUUAAUUUUUUAAUGACUCAUUCGGCGCCUUACGGGAAACCAAAGUGUUUGGGUUC